rnacentral:rRNA from 1 species
GUCCUAGCAGUAAACGAUGGAGGCUGGCUGUGGGCGGUUUGACCCCGUCGGCGGCUGAGCUAACGCGCAAGCCUCCCGCCUGGGGAGUACGGCCGCGAGGCUAAAACUCAAAGGAAUUGACGGGGGCCCGCACAAGCAGCGGAGCGUGUGGUUUAAUUCGACGCGACGCGUAGCACCUUACCAGGGCUUGACAUGGACGUGCAAACCCCGGAAACGGGGCUUCCUUCGAGGGUCGUCCACAGAUGCUGCAUGGCUGUCGU